rnacentral:rRNA from 1 species
CGACAGAGAGUGCAAGCGUUAAUCGGAAUGACUGGGCGUAAAGGGCACGUAGGUGGAUGCAGGCGUUAUGUGUGAAAUAUCUGGGCUUAACCUGGGGAUUGCAUGUAAUACGCUGCGUCUAGAGUACAGUAGAGGAAAGUAGAAUUCCCGGUGUAGCGGUGAAAUGCGUAGAUAUCGGGAGGAAUACCAGUGGCGAAGGCGGCUUUCUGGACUGAUACUGACACUGAGGUGCGAAAGCGUGGGUAGCAAACAGGAUUAGAAACACCGGUAGUCC